GCCGGGGGACACCUGGAGAGGUGGCAGAGCGGUUGAAUGUACCUGACUCGAAAUCAGGCAGGCGUUUAUAGCGCCUCGGGGGUUCGAAUCCCCCCCUCUCCGCCAGAUUAAAAAAGAAGGG
rnacentral:ncRNA from 1 species